rnacentral:lncRNA from 1 species
GUUUUUUCCUAAUUCUAUUCAAAUCCUCAUGUAAUCCAUCUAAUAGGAAAGCUAACAGUUCUUGACAGUCUUGCUGCUGAUAUCCAGAGAACUGAGGUGCAAAACGUCCUACCUGUGUCUUAAAGGCUCUUGGGGUGACGUAGCUAAACUUUCCAGACCACAUUUGCUUGAUCAGUUCGGCAUAAGAUUUAGCUAUUUCACCUCUCAUUCCUAAGGGAUUGUCAAAAUUCAGUUCUUC